rnacentral:rRNA from 1 species
UACGUAGGGCGCAAGCGUUGUCCGGAAUUAUUGGGCGUAAAGAGCUCGUAGGCGGCUUGUCACGUCGGGUGUGAAAGCCCGGGGCUUAACCCCGGGUCUGCAUUCGAUACGGGCUAGCUAGAGUGUGGUAGAGGCAAGCGGAAUUCCGGGUGUAGCGGUGGAAUGCGUAGAGAUCCGGAAGAACACCGGAGGCGCAGGCGGCUUGCUGGACCUGGUCUGACGCUGAGGCGCGAAAGCGUGGGGAGCGAACAGG